CCCCUCUCUGGGUCGCACCUGGAGAGUUUCCAGUAUUCUACCAGUCUCGGUUGCGGGAGGGAGAGUCAAGCAGAGGACUGCCCAUUCCAUUCCUAGCUUGGCCAGUGGCUAGUGAAUGGAAGGCAAUUUGCUACAGGU